rnacentral:lncRNA from 1 species
CAGCUGCUCUUGAUGAAAACGGCAGUGGCUCUGAAAAGAGCCUUUAGAUCGACCACUUAAAAAUAUACCUUAGGCCCUCUCCCCGCGGAUGCGGCUGACCAACUGGAUGUCCUUGGGCAUGAUGGUCACGCGCUUGGCAUGGAUGGCGCACAGAUAAGAAAACUGAGUCUCAGAGAAAUUAUGGCUUGUCCUGGCUUUUCCCAGGCAAGUAAAUGCAGGCCACAGUCUGCCAGCUGCCCAACCAUUCAGGCUUUUCAUUAUUAUAGGAAGCAUCUGGCCAAGGACCACCAACAUCUUCCUGUCCUGCCCCUGAAGCUGUGCCUAGAGGAGGUCUCUCAUAGAUGCCCACGUUCUCUUGACAAGAUAUUUGGGGAGGACCCCUGGCUACUGUCACUGCUGCCAUGCCUGCCAGGAGGAGGCACCUUCCUGACACUUCACUGCUGCUGCUCAGCAGGCCUGCCAAGUGGUUCUGCUGUGUUCUAGGAGAAACAGGA